GUGAGAAGAGGUAAUUUUGCAAAUUAGCCCAAGAACCCUGAAUGAGUUAACCCCUGUGAAGCAGGAGUACGUCUCGCUCCACCACCAAAGGUUUAGGCCUGCACGUUCCAGACCCUUCUGCUGCCUUCUCCCUCUGGGCCUGUUCACGUCACUCCAGCUCUUCUCCAAGGAGCCGGCUGGGUCUGGCCAGAGACGCUGCCAGCUCCACGGAGCCAUCAGCCUUCAGAGCAGCACCUUGGGCCAGGAAACACGGACAGGGGGAGUUCUGUGUGCGACUAAUGGACCCCAGAUAGAGCCACUCUUCAGUCACUGCCGUCACUUGAAAAUGCAUUUCCAGUUGACAAUAGCCGUCUGCCUAUAGAUAGCUCCACGCAGAGAUGGCUGGUCAGGCUGCUCUCCCAGAUGCCUGGGUCAGCAAUUUCCAAAGCAUCCAGUCAGCAGUUCCUGCUUCCUCCAGCAAAGUAUGGCUCUCUCCUCCCAUCUCCCAGUCCCAGGACAGGGUCCGGGCCUAGAGGGGACAGUGGCCGCCCCAAUCCGUUGCCAACAGCAGGCCCCUCUCUCUGCGCUGCCUCCAGGCCCCCAGGACAGGUGACUUGGACCGCGCGGCCCUGGGGCAUAUGCAGCCUGGCUGGGCGGUGCUGA
rnacentral:lncRNA from 1 species